rnacentral:rRNA from 1 species
UACGGGGGGGGCAAGCGUUGUUCGGAAUUACUGGGCGUAAAGCGCGCGUAGGCGGACAUUUAAGUCAGGGGUGAAAUGCCGGGGCUCAACCUCGGAACUGCCUUUGAUACUGGAUGUCUGGAGUUCGGGAGAGGUGAGUGGAAUUCCGAGUGUAGAGGUGAAAUUCGUAGAUAUUCGGAGGAACACCAGAAGCGAAGGCGGCUCACUGGCCCGAUACUAACGCUGAAGAGCGAAAGCGUGGGGAGCGAACAGG